rnacentral:rRNA from 1 species
CGAAAGUGCCGGUAAUACCCGAUGACACCUUCGGAUCACAUGUUCCGGAGGUCAAAGUUUUUCGGUCCGGGAGCGGCCCACGUCCUAUCAGCUUGUUGGUGGGGUAAUGGCCUACCAAGGCGGUGACGGGUAGCCGGCGUGAGAGCGUGGCCGGCCACAUCGGGACUGAGACACUGCCCGGACACCUACGGGUGGCUGCAGCAACGAAUAUUCCGCAAUGGACGAAAGUCUGACGGAGCGACGCCGCGUGCAGGAUGAAUGCCCUCGGGUCGUAAACUCCAAUAGUAUGUCAGGAAGUUCUGACCAGCAUACGAAAGGGGUGGCUAACUCCGUGCCAGCAGCCGCGGUAAUACGGAGGCCCCUAGCGUUGUUCGGAAUCACUGGGCUUAAAGAGCGUGUAGGCGGAACGGAAAGUAUCUUGUGAAAGCCCUCGGCUCAACCGAGGAAUGGCUCGGUAUACUAUCGUUCUUGAGGCAGGUAGGGGUUGCUGGAACCUUAGGUGGAGCGGUGAAAUGCGUAGAUAUCUAAGGGAACGCCUGUGGCGAAAGCGGGCAACUGGACCUGUCCUGACGCUGAGACGCGAAAGCGUAGGUAGCGAACGGGAUUAGAUACCCCGGUAGUCUACGCCGUAAACGAUGCGCACUAGGUUCGAGGACUUCUGACAGUUUUCGUGCCGAAACAAAAGCGAUAAGUGCGCCGCCUGGGGAGUACGGCCGCAAGGCUAAAACUCAAAGGAAUUGACGGGGGCUCACACAAGCGGUGGAGCAUGUGGAUUAAUUCGAAUCAACGCGAAGAACCUUACCUGGGUUGAACUACGGCGGAUGCCCUUCCUGAAAGGGAAGUAAGCUGCCUUCGGGUGAAACGUACACAGGUGCUGCAUGGCUGUCGUCAGCUCGUGCUGUGAAGUGUCGGGUUAAGUCCCUUAACGAGCGAAACCCCUAUCGUUAGUUGCCAGCGGGUCAUGCCGGGGACUCUAGCGAGACCGCCGGCGUCAAGCCGGAGGAAGGUGGGGACGACGUCAAGUCAUCAUGGCCUUUAUGUCCAGGGUGUCACACGUGCUACAAUGGUCGGUACAGAGCGACGCGAUGUCGAGAGGCGGAGCAAAUCGCAGAAAGCCGGCCCCAGUUCGGAUUGGAGUCUGCAACUCGACUCCAUGAAGUUGGAAUCGCUAGUAAUCGCGUAUCAGCCAUGACGCGGUGAAUAUGUUCCUGAGCCUUGUACACACCGCCCGUCAAGUCAUGGAAGCUGUUAGUACCCGAAGUCGCAGCAAUUCGGCUGUGCCGACGGAAAGCCUGGUAACUGGGACUAAGUCGU